GGGCGUAUGGUGUAGUGGUAUCACUCAUGCUUUGCAUGAAGGAUUUGGUUUUAGGCAAUACCUAAUCACCAUGUUUGUAUGCGGUCCAGGGUUCAAACCCCUGUGCGUCCA